AUUGAACGCUGGCGGAAUGCUUUACACAUGCAAGUCGAACGGUAGAGGGGGCAACCCCUCGAGAGUGGCGAACGGGUGAGUAAUAUAUCGGAACGUGCCCAGUCGUGGGGGAUAACGUAGCGAAAGUUACGCUAAUACCGCAUACGAUCUAAGGAUGAAAGCGGGGGAUCGCAAGACCUCGCGCGAUUGGAGCGGCCGAUAUCAGAUUAGGUAGUUGGUGGGGUAAAGGCUCACCAAGCCAACGAUCUGUAGCUGGUCCGAGAGGACGACCAGCCACACUGGAACUGAGACACGGUCCAGACUCCUACGGGAGGCAGCAGUGGGGAAUUUUGGACAAUGGACGCAAGUCUGAUCCAGCCAUUCCGCGUGCAGGAUGAAGGCCCUCGGGUUGUAAACCGCUUUUGUACGGAACGAAAAGGUCUCUCUUAAUACGGGGGACUCAUGACGGUACCGUAAGAAUAAGCACCGGCUAACUACGUGCCAGCCGCCGCCGUAAGAC
rnacentral:rRNA from 1 species